GACGAACGCUGGCGGCGUGCUUAACACAUGAAAGUCGAACGGAAAGGCCCUGCUUUUGUGGGGUGCUCGAGUGGCGAACGGGUGAGUAACACGUGAGUAACCUGCCCUUGGCUUUGGGAUAACUUCAGGAAACUGGGGCUAAUACCGGAUAGGAGCUCCUGCUGCAUGGUGGGGGUUGGAAAGUUUCGGCGGUUGGGGAUGGACUCGCGGCUUAUCAGCUUGUUGGUGGGGUAGUGGCUUACCAAGGCUUUGACGGGUAGCCGGCCUGAGAGGGUGACCGGCCACAUUGGGACUGAGAUACGGCCCAGACUCCUACGGGAGGCAGCAGUGGGGAAUAUUGCACAAUGGGCGGAAGCCUGAUGCAGCAACGCCGCGUGCGGGAUGACGGCCUUCGGGUUGUAAACCGCUUUCGCCUGUGACGAAGCGUGAGUGACGGUAAUGGGUAAAGAAGCACCGGCUAACUACGUG
rnacentral:rRNA from 1 species